UACAUUUGUUUUUUAGUAUAGUUUUAUUAGAAAAAAAUUAAGCCCUCUCAUCGGUUGCUCCACAUAGAGAUGAAUCUUUUGUCAAUAUUUAAUUUAGUUCUGUAAAUCUGUAUCAUUGUUAUUGUGCUCCAGGAAAAGACUGACUGUAACAGACUGUGCAUGUGUUUUUUAUUUUUAUUUUUAUUUAUUUUUUUUAUACAGAAUCAGUUCAACUAACUGAGUGUCACAAUCAAACACAAUGGCAGAUUAUUAUUAUGAUAUCUGGUCUGAUGAACGGACUUCUGCUCAUUCUGCUGAUCAUUUUCACCGCUAGAAAAGCAGAAUGGUUGGAAAAAUCUGUUUAUAAUGCUGAUCUGCAGACAAAAGUUACAUAUCGGCUUCAAGAUGCAAAACUAUUGCAAGUACAAUAAGUGCGCCAAGGUGAAGAACUAUUCAUCUGAAUAUUGAAUAUUUGAAUGAAAUGUAAUAUUUCCACCAUUACUGGACAGUGAACAAGAUACGGUUUAUGAGUUAAAUAUGCAUUAAGCCUCACUGUCAGAUUAAUUGGAAUUCCUUUAUCAAGUAUGAUGUAAAGUUUUUGAUCUGGUUCAUUCACAUUUAGCCAUUAAAAUGUUUUUGUAUGCAACAAUAAAUCAAUUGAAAAAGAAGUCAAAGGCUGCUAGACCUUAUACAGUAGUGAAUAGCAAUUUACCAAUGUACUUCUGCUUACUUUGUUAACUAUUUCAGAAAUAAAAACAUAUUGUUUUUAUAUAAUUUUGUAUUUAGGAAAAAGUGUAUUGUAUUUAUCCCUUGCUAAA